rnacentral:rRNA from 1 species
GUGCACCAGGCGAGAAACCUUCGCAAUGCGGGAAACCGCGACGAGGGGACUCCCAGUGCCUACGCUCAGCGUAGGCUGUUCCCGAGCCUAGAAAGCUCGGGGAGUAAGGGCUGGGUAAGACGGGUGCCAGCCGCCGCGGUAAUACCCGCAGCCCGAGUGGUGGCCACUGUUAUUGGGCCUAAAGCGUCCGUAGCCGGCCCGGUAAAUGCCUGGGUAAAUCGUGAGGCCUAACCUCACGAAUUCCGGGUAGACUGCCGGGCUAGGGACCGGAGGAGGGAGAGGGUACUCCAGGGGUAGGGGUGAAAUCCUGUAAUCCCUGGAGGACCACCGGUGGCGAAGGCGCUCUCCUAGGACGGGUCCGACGGUGAGGGACGAAAGCCAGGGGAGCGAACCGGAUUAGAUACCCCCGUAGU